AGGGAUGAUCAUGUCAAAUAAUGGAACCAGAGUUGCUGAAAACAACUUGGAAUAGGAUCCUUACUGACAGAUUAGAAGAGGAGAAAGAAUGAAUCAAAAGACCCACUCCAGAACAAUUGCAUAGUGCACCGUGAUGCUUGCCACUAUAUUCUCAGGAAAAUGGGAUAGGUACCCAAGGACAAUAGAUGGUGAGGACACCUGAGAAGACCCUAUCUGACCCACCCACCUCCAGCCCCAUCAAACAAUGUGCUCCUGAUCUAGUUUCACAGUACGCAUCCAAAUUUAACAAUUCAGAGAAUUGAGU